UACCUGAUUGAUUCUGUCAGCGCGAUAUGCUCAAGUAAAAGAUUAAGCCAUGCAUGCUUUGAUUCAUAAAUGAAAUUGCGUACGGCUCAUUAGAGCAGAUAUCACCUUUCUCGGAAUCCUGAAAAGGAUAACUGCGGAAAUUCUGGAGCUAAUACAUGCGACUAUACUCCAACGCAAGGCGGGGUGCAAUUAUUAGAACAGACCAAACGUUUUCGGACGUUGUUUGUUGACUCUGAAUACCGUCGUUUACUGUCAGUUUCGACUGACUCUAUCCGAGAAGGGUGUCUGCCCUUUCAACUAGAUGGUAAUCUAUUGGACUACCAUGGUUGUUACGGGUAACGGAGAAUUAGGGUUCGACUCCGGAGAGGGAGCCUUAGAAACGGCUACCACGUCCAAGGAAGGCAGCAGGCGCGAAACUUAUCCACUGUUGAGUAUGAGAUAGUGACUAAAAAUAUAAAGACUCAUCCUUUUGGAUGAGUUAUUUCAAUGAGUUGAAUAUAAAUUAUUCUUCGAGUAGCAAGGAGAGGGCAAGUCUGGUGCCAGCAGCCGCGGUAAUUCCAGCUCUCCUAGUGUAUCUCGUUAUUGCUGCGGUUAAAAAGCUCGUAGUUGGAUCUAGGUUACGUGCCGCAG
rnacentral:ncRNA from 1 species